rnacentral:rRNA from 1 species
CUUGGUCAUUUAGAGGAAGUAAAAGUCGUAACAAGGUUUCCGUAGGUGAACCUGCGGAAGGAUCAUUAUUGUAUAACAGAGGUGCCUAAGGCUGUCGCUGACCUCCAUAGGUCGUGCACGCCCGAAGGUGCUCUCUCACAUCCAUCUCACCCCUUUGUGCAUCACCGCGUGUGCUCCCCUAUUGGGCUUGUUCCAAAGGAGGGUUCGCGUUUUUAUAUGAACACCAAUUUUAAAAAGCAUGUGUAGAAUGUCUUACUUUUUGCGAUUACGCGCAAUCAAUAUAACUUUCAACAACGGAUCUCUUGGCUCUCGCAUCGAUGAAGAACGCAGCGAAAUGCGAUACGUAAUGUGAAUUGCAGAAUUCAGUGAAUCAUCGAAUCUUUGAACGCACCUUGCGCCCCUUGGUAUUCCGAGGGGCACACCCGUUUGAGUGUCGUGAACACCCUCAACCUUUUUGGUUUCUUGAUCAAGAAGGCUUGGACUUUGGAGGUUUUUCUUGCUGGCUUUCCCUUUGAAGCCAGCUCCUCCUAAAUGCAUUAGUGGGGUUUGCUUUGCGGAUCCUUGACAUGAUAAGUAUGCUUCUAUGUCUUGGGUUUGCACUGUUGCCAUAAAACCUGCUUCGAAUGGUCUUCAAAUGAAGACGAUGUUUGAGUUGCAUUGCGACUCGAACCCAGUGACCUUGACCUCAAAUCGGGUGAGACUACCCGCUGAACUUAAGCAUAUCAAUAAGCGGAGGA